GUCUCCGGUAGCUAGGCUGCUCCUUUUACAAGAAGCUUUACCUGACCAGUCGUGAGCUGAUCUUCUGAGCUUGCUUCGAACUCUCUUGCUCUAUGAUUCUUUCUCAAAUCAACAGAGCUCUGCUCUAAUCACUGUCUUUGUGCUCCCUGAAAAGAAGACUGUCCUUGUCUUCACACCUCACCGCCCAGGACAGUAUUCAGGGACAGAAGGGGUGGCCUCAAAGAAGUGGCUUAGACUGAGGGUGACGGACAGAGAGGCCGGACAGUCACAGAAGCUUAUUCCUGUCCACCCACACAGCAGAGGACAGCGGGAGGCCAUGUGACGCGUCCUAGCAAUGUGGUAUAAAGAGCACUAGACUGGAAAGAAUUCAAAGACAAUGCACUAGCUGGGGACAGUGGGCCCACCAGACCCUCUCCAGGCUCUUGGCUCUGUCUGUAAACAUAAGACAACCUUUCCCUCUCUGCCCACUUCAAGGUGGGCAGUGAGGAGGGUUCAGGAAGAUGAUGAAUGGGGAGAGCACUUCUGGCCGCGGUUCCCUCAUGAGUGGGGCUGGGGCAGACACUUACUUAUCCACCAUGCCUUUGUGCUGGAGGAUACUGUGCAGCUCCCGGGCUGUCUGGGGCCCCUGCAGCUUCUGUCCAUUCAGCAUCUCUUUCUCCAACUGCUCAAUGGACUGUGAAGAAAAUAGGACAGGCAGAUGGAAAUGGGAGAGGGGAGUUGUCAGUGUGAGAUGGAGAGACGGGGGCUCCGGCAGGAGGUGGGUCUUAAGAGGAAAGAAAUGGGAAUGUUCACAACAAUCUUAAUGUUUGUACUCAAGAGAUGCCACAAGCCAGGUUCCUCUGCCUUAACACCUACAGGGCCCAACCUCCCUGCUCCAUUCUCCCCAGGGCCCACCUUUCCUGUGCGGGCGAAGGCCUCGGCCACCUUUCGGUUCCGCCCUCCAUAGCAGGUAGUGAUGAGGUCAGCAACACCGCAGCUCUCCAAGAAGGUGGCAGAGGACACGGAGCCGCUGCAGAAGAGCUUGGCGAAGGCGAUCAUCUCCAUGAGUCCCAAUCGGAUCACAGCCGCCUUGGUGUUGUCGCCAAAGCCCAGGCCGUCACAGAAGCCAGCCCCCACAGCCACUAUAUUCUUUGAAGAGUGGAGUCAUGGGUGAGAAAGGAUCCCUCCCGCAGGCCCCACUUGGGACCCUCAGCACCUGCCUCAUGCUUCUUCCACCAGCCAUGACAUGCCCACUUCCUUCAUAAUGAAGGAAGAUGUGUGGGCGCCUCAACUCCUUCCAUUCUUGGUUUCCCCACUGGUUGCACUCCCUUCUUUUGGCUGCACUCCCUUCUUUUAGCCUGGACUUGUGCUUCCUGGCUCCCCAGCCCUGCGCUAUACUCCAUCCUUGAGGACUUUCCCUGAAAACUAGUCUACCUGGCCCCCCCAACCAUGGCUGUUUUAUGUCCCUGAUAGCCAUCCAUAGCUCUGUCCAGGAGCCAGAGUUCUGGUCAUCAGUCUGUCUGGGUGUCCUGGACAUCUCAUCUCCCCUUACCCUGGGUGCUCCACCAGGGCAUCUCCUCUUCCCCGCCAGACCAGCCCUUUGAGCCAGGGAUAGGGUGUCCAACAAGGGGCUACAGAGGAAAGGAAGAAGGGAGCCCAGAGUCUGAAGGUAAGCGCCUGCAGGCCUGAGUGAUCCUGGCUCUGCCUCUGCAGUGCUCCCCAUGUGUACUGUACUCAGGGAGGAUGGGGGGUGAGCACCUGGAGUCCCAGCAACAUUGUGCAGCUAAGCUAGGCCUUCUUUCAGGACCUGCUCCCCACCCACACUGCCUCGUGCCCCUCUCACCUUUAAGGCCCCACAGAUCUCUACUGUGUCCACCUCCUGCACCACCGUGACGCGGAAAUUGGGUGUCUGCAUCAACUCUUUCAGGAGCUGUCCGUGGGCCAGGUUCUUGCUACCUAAAUUGGGGAGGGGGUAAGGCUUUAAGAAGGGGCUCUUGAUUCUUCUUCCCACACCUGCCCGAAUCAGGACCUCCAACUGUUUCUGUAGGGGCAUCCAACCCCUCUCAUCUCUAAUGCCGGGGUCUUCUUCCUUCCCCUGCCUUAUGGGGAGAAGAGGGCCAGGUGGGCGGGGAAUAGAGCACGGGGAGCGGGUAUAACUGGAGUUGCACCAUGUAUGUGGGUGGGUGGGGUCUCACCGAUGGUUGUCUCACAGAACUUCUCCUCAGCCACCUCGUUGGCAAUGUUGGCCCCCAUCAGCACGCUCAUGGGGAUGCCAAGGUGCUCCCCAAUCACUUCAGAGAUGAGCUUCAGCCCCUUGGGGCCCUCGUCUACCCCCUGGGCACAGGAUGGAGCUCAGGACAGGUGCCUUUUACCCCAGCUGAGGGCUUCCCCCAGAAAUCCUGCCCCUUCCAAAUUCAGUGUUCGUCAAGUGUCCCUCCCCAAAGGUCCUCCCCUAGUCCAGCACAGCCAGAGCUUGCUGUGAGGAGAGCGGAUAGCCUGUGAAAAUGAAACCAUCCGAAAAUUCUCCCACAACCUACUUCUCCAAGGUAAUGUAUCCCUCCACACCCCUGAACACCCCACCCCUGAGUACUCCAAACCAGCUUCCAUCCCAGCCACUGCUCCAAACCAGCUGCCCUUCUCAGGUCCUCAAACCCAGCUCCUCAAUCCAGCCUGCUUCUCAUAUCCCCUUAGCAUCCCUCAUACAUCUAAAUUCCCUAAGACAUCUGCCUCCAAACUGACACCUUAUCUACUCCGCAACCAACUUCCUCUUCCCAAUGACCCCGGCAUAUGUUUCUCAAGCCUCCCCAAAGCCAACUCUUCUCCUCUCUUCAGAAAAUUCCUGGCCUACUUAUGCGGUUUUCUGUGUGUCUCACUUCACCAACCCUGAGCCCCACAGCAGGUAGCUGUACCCCCUUCCACAGGACGGUGUCUCUGGCACCUUAAUAAGAGACACGCCAAUGGUGUUGGCCUUCAGGUGGCCCUUGAGCUGAUCACAGAUCUUGCCGAUGAACUGAUGGGGCACCACGAAGAUCAGGAUGUCGGCAUCCGCUGCAGCCUGGACCACAUCAGGGACAGCCACCUGUGGGGGUGACCAGUGCUCAUGGGCCUGACAGACUUCUUCUAGCCCCUGUGGAGCCCCAUUAUGGAGAUCUAGGAGCUAGAGUGAGGCUGGUGGGGAAGAAGGAAGGUUGGGGUUGAAUCUGGAAGGGCUGAACCUGGAGGAGCAAGACACUCUAUUCUCUCCCCCUCGCCAUCAUUUCUUCUAUGCUUCAGCUGUCCUGGACUCUUGGGAACUCCUGGAAACCUCCUCCCAGCUGUCUCCUAGCCCUUGGCUGUGGGACAGUGAAGUCUGGGCUUGGCAGGAGGAAGAUGACAAGUAAGAUUUCAUCACCCUGCUCCUUAGGGCCCCCAGCUGGGAAUGGAGAGCCCCAGUCUUCCUGCUCUCUUCCCUGCUCGCCCUUUCUAGGUGGGGAGUAAGCCACAUGGAUUUGACCAAAGACCUUAAGUCCAAGGAGCAGUCUCCAUGUCUGCUAAUCAUUCAGUGAAUGAGUAACAGGAUUAGAGCCCGAGGCAGGCACUACCUGAACCCCAAGUCUGGGAGCCAGAGAACCUGCCUUUGGUUGUCAUGGAGACCAACUUCCUCAUCUUCUCCCCCUCCCUUUCCUCCUGGGAGCCCAUGGGGCAAGGUGGAGAUGCAGGGGUAUGCAUUCAGGUUGUCCUCAACCCCAGGAAGUGCUCUGGGAGCUGUGCACGAGGAUACCCUGUGCCUGGAGGAGCCCUCCUGAGAUGCUCCUCAGGUCCAGUGGUGCUUGAAAUGGCCCCCUCACUUCCCUCUCCCUCUCCCCCGCGUGUUGGGGCUCACCACAUUGGGGGGCAGCUUGUGCCCUGGCAGGUAUUUGACAUUCUCGUGCUCUGUGUUGAUGAUCUCUGUCAGCUUUCUGCCCCCGAUGUCUUCCUCAAACACCCACAUGGUCACCCGUGGGUCAAAGUGUGCCAGCUGGGCUGCAUUGCCACCCACAAUCUUGGCGAUGGCUGAGCCCCUGGCGGGAGGGGGGAGUGCAGAAAGUGGAGUGAGGGAGGAACAGUAGCAGGGGAGGGGACAGUGCUCCACCUCAGGAUAUCACAGUAUCCACUGGACUAUUUACUUGCCACCUCCCUUGUCACCCCCUCUCCUAUGACACUGUGUCUCUAAUGAGCAGGCAACAGAAAGGAGACUCAGUCUCCCUGACACUGCUGCUGGAGAAGGGGGCCAGCUUUCUGAUCUCCCAACACUGCGCCCCACCUCCACCCAUGCAGUUUUUCAGGCAGGGAGCACUCUGGAGGCUCCCUUCCUGUGGGGAACAGGUGCCAUGCCGAGAGGCAAGGGCCAGGAGGGGUCAGGGCACCCUCUGUCCUAGUGGGGUAGGCAAGAGACAGCAGCGGGAGCCGGAGCACUUCCUGCUCACCAAGCCUCCGUCCCUGACUUCCGCAGACUUGAGGGAGCCCCCCUGCCCCCCAACACACUCCUUGACAGAGCUGCUUACCAGUUGCCAGAGCCUACAAUGCAGACUUUCUUGCCGGUCAUGGUGCUGCUUCUCUGCCUGAGCCGCCAGCUGGGUGCCACUCUCCCCAGCUCCCCUGCUGGCUGGGAGCAUAUAACUCCAACACACGUGGGUGCAGCCAAGCCCCACCCUCCAGGGGAGGGGAGGCGGGCACCGAGGGAGACAGAGUCUGGCAGGGCCAGGGAAAGGGGGGAAAAGGGGAGAGAGACAGGUGGGGAACAGGAAUGGGGCACAGACUAGGCCCGCUUUUCCUCUUAGGUUUGCCAGCUGACAGUGCUGGCAAGCUUCUUCCCUUGGCUCCAGCCCAGGUCCUCACCCCCCUCCCUCCCUGCAAUGGGCUCAUCUUGAGGUCUGCCAAGAGCAAGCCCAGAUAAGGAACAAGUGACCAGUCGCCUGUGCUCCCUUCUGUCCCCUAGCCCUGGAAUAAACUGUAUUCAGUCCCAGCAGCAGAUACAGGCAUGCUUACUUUUCCAACGUAGGAAUUGCCCCAUGUGAUCUCCCAGGACCCCCAAAACUGCGCUGCAGGUUUAACCUCUGGCAGUGAUGGGUCACGUGUCACAGGUCCCACUCUAGCUCCACUGCAGGGCUGUGCGUGAGUGAGAUGGGUGGGUGUAAGCCCUUUUAUGUAAGGUAGGACCCCAUAGAAGGGGAGGGGAGGGGCUGCUUUGGGGGCAGCCGGAGGAUAAGACCCCACUAGCCUGAGAAACAGAACCCACCACUGGGCCUCUCCUCACCUGAAUGCCUUCCAGAAAGGAGGGUAGGAAGUGUUAAAGUUGGACGCAAAGUUGUCCACAAGUCUUUUGCAGACUCUGGGCUUGAGGACAGAAGGCAGGCAGCCCAAGUGUUCACUAUCCUUGAGAGGCACUGAGCUUCCUUCACUUCUCUCUUGGGUUUCCUAGCUGCUAACACGACAGGGGCUCCUUCAGUUUAGUGGCUAGUUUGCAGAAGCCAGAAAGGGAAGGGAGGCAGGACGUGGGGCAGCUGUGACCUCUGUGAGCCUUGUGGUCUCAGAUGCUGUAACUGAGACUCAGUGGGGUGUGUGCUUUUGGGAGGAGGGAGAAUGGAAGACACAUUGAGUAGCUCAAGGCUCUAUGUUGCCCACAGCAAUGUUUAAGCAGGGAGCUUCGGUUUCUAGGCUGAUGUGGAGAGCGGGGCAAAGGCCCCUAACGCUCCAGCUGUCUGUGCACCUUGGCCUGGAAGGCAGACAUCACUGUGUGCUCACGUGCUGACCUCCUGGCUUGGCCAACUGCUGAGUGGGUGUUUUCGUCCCCCUGGGCUCUUGCUGGCUGCAAACUGUGGAACAAAAUUAAGCCUACUACAGAGCCAGCUUCCUGCAGAUUACUGUUAUUGCACUGGCAUUGAGAAAAAGGCACCAGUGCCAGGCUGCCAGCUGGGAGCUCCGAUUAUGGGUGAUGAAGAAAGAAUGCUUCUGUCCCUGGCACAUAGGAUGAGAACCCCAAAGAAUGGAUGUUUAUGCAUAAAAUAACCUCCUGUCUUUGCCUAAA